AGGGUUGUGGCUCAGUGGUAGAGCACUUGCCUAGGAUGUGUGGGGCCCUGGGUUCAAUCCUCAGCACCACAU
rnacentral:tRNA from 1 species